UCAGCCAUAAAUAAAUAAAACAUAUGUAUAAAAUAAAUAAAUAGAAACUUAAAAAAACUCCUAAGUUCAUGGAUAGAGCAAACAGACCUGGUGGCUGCAUGUGGUACAGGGGCGGGGGGAAGCAGGGGCAAAACGGGUGAAGGUAAUCAAAAAGUACAAAUUUCCAGGUAUAAAAUGAAUGUCAUGGGGAUGUAAUGUAUAGCAUGGUGACUACAGUUAAUAAUACUGUGCUGCAUAUUUGAAAGUUGCUACGAAAGUAAAUCUUAAAAGUUCUCAUCACAAGAAAAAAAAAAUCUGUAUGGUGACAGAUGCUAAUGCGACUUACUGUUGUGAUCACUUCCCAAUACAUGCAAAUAUCAAAUCAUUAUGUUGUACACCUGAAAUUAAUAUAAUGUCUGUCAAUUAUACCUCAAAAAAAAAAACCAGAACCAAAUCUGAAUUUAAAUCAAUCAGCAUGUUUCUCACCUUUUUCUUAGUUCUGAUUUUCUGUUACAUGCUUUUUCAUUUUAUGUAUUUUUGCUGUAGAGUUGCCUCAGACUCUCUCUGAAGAAAGGCAAGCUAUCAAUAAAAGAAACACCCUUUAAGAAAUCCCACCAAAUCUACGUAAAAAACACGAAAUAGAAGAAUCAUUUGGAAUAAAUGUAAACACUGACACAGCAGCCUUGGGAUCAGGUGUGAAGACAAAUGGCUCCAUUACUAACUUUAAUAGGAAAGGCUACACAGAAGGGAUACAAACACAGGGCAGGCUACGUCCGGGUUCUCAACUCCUUUUUGGCCACAAAAAAACCAAAUGCCUAAGGCAUAUGACAGUUAACAGGAGCAGGUCAGAAUCUGGGGGUAGGAAGUAUAUUGUUGAGAAAAAAUUCCCCCACAUGAUUCUGCUACACUUUCCCCACAUCCCACCACUAAAGCCCCCAAUCCCUGCCCCAGUUGAGAUCACUGGGUUGAAUUUAUUCUUUUAAAUUGUUCAACACUUAACAAAUAGUUUAUUGAGCACCUACUCUAUAACUGUCAUGAAGCGAGUAUUUUUGUACUUCUGCACAGUUAGAGAUUUCUGCGAAAAUUUACUGGGACCUGGGUUAAAGGACAAGCCUUAAAACUUAAAAAAUGACUAAAUAGAUAGUAAAAGAUUGAUCUUCCCUGAGGUAUGUGUUCACAUUUCAGAAGGAUGAUGAAACCAGGGUCAUGGAGACAUUCCAGAGUUACAAACUCAGAGCCUCUUGUCUUAGGUUACUGACGUAAGUAAUAAUCUAUCCCUGCCUCAGGAACCCUGUGUCUACUUUCAGGGUAAUAUGAACAAAUAUAGAUAUUAAAAACUUAUCAGUCACCAGGCACCAGGCUAGUUCCUAAGAGCACAACUGUGAGUAAGAGAAAGUUCCUGCUCUCUCAGAGCUUGUGGUCAAUUGUGGUACCAACAGUGAUCCAUCACAGCACAGUAUAGCAAGUCCAUGACAGGAGACGUACAUGGAGCUGUGAGAGACUGGAGAAUCUAAACUGAGACUGAAGCGGGAGGAGUUAGCCAAAUACCUCUGUCUGCAAAUCAAAGAAAAUCCCCAAACAGAGAUUCUGUUAGAAAAGAAGAGAGUGGUGAAAGGUCGCAGGGAAAGCAGCCAGUAGGAUGUGCUACAGUCAUUAAGGUAAUAUUUCCCUUUUUAGAAUAUUAUAUUUAGCACUAACAGGAAAGACAGAGAAAUAAAAGACCACCUUAUUCUUUUGUUUUUUUACAUUUUGCAUAGUUUUAAUAUAUAUUCAAAAACCAUGAAAACAAAAUAGUUUUGUUCAGAGACUUACAACAAUCCUUCACGUUAUAGACAGCAAGCCUCUCCCUGGUAUCAUUCUGAAUUCCCAGCUGUCCCCUUCAGAAUAAUUCUCUCUCUAAUUGUAAGCAUCUUACAACAUCAGUUAUGCAUUGUAACACGUCAUUUAAAAUUAAUUAUUUAUUUAAAAUUAUUUCUCCUUAGGUUAGAGUUAAGGCAUUAUAUAGGUUAUUUUUGGAUACAGUUCUUUUAUCAGAUAAAUAUAUUGCAAAUAUUUUCUCCUAGUUCAUGGCUUAUCUUUUAAUUCUCUUAACAGCUUUUUGAAGAACAGAUGAUUUUAAUCCUGACCAAAAUAUAAAUUAGGCUUAAUAUUCAGUGUUUUUGGUAUUCUGCAAAAAGUGUGCCUAUUCAAAGCCCACAAGGAUGUUCUCCUGUUUCCUUCUAGAAUUUUUAUGAUUUUGCCCUUAUGUUUAGGUCUAUGGUAUAUUUUAAUUAAAUUUUAUGUCUGGCAUGGGGGAGGAGGAUUUUUGUUUGUUUAUUAAUUUUUGGUAUAGGAUGUCUACUUGUUCCAGGAGCAUUUAUUAAAAAUAUA